GCUCCAGUUGAACGGGUAAAGGUUCUACGGUGAAGAGCCCGGUCAAGGCGACCUUAUUAAAGAGAACAUUCGGGACAUCAAAGCCGAUGCGAUAUAGCAUCUGCCCUCUUCCACUUUUGCAAUCCGGAGUUCUUUGAACCGGAAGCGAGGAGGUGCACAGCUGGCUCUUAUGUCUAGUUUCGAAGCCAAUACACAUACACAGUCCUGCCCAAUA
rnacentral:lncRNA from 1 species